GCUCUUCCGAUCUCUUUGACAGAACGACAGGUCUCAUUGGGGUGACGUUUCUCCUCUGUCACCCAGUCAGUCUGAAGGCGCUAGGUGAAUUAAGAAGCUGCGUUUCCCUGGGUUAGGACAGCCCAGCUGAUUCAGUGUUAGGUCAGGUAGCCUUGUUUCCUCCAUGAUAGCAGGAGAAGGAGCCAGCGGGGCUGUGCUGUCCAGGGCCUUACAUCAUCCUGCAGACAAUUGGCAGCCAAGGGACGGGCAGCUGCCACCUCUUCAGAUAUCCUCUAUUUAAAGUUCAAAGAGACGCUGGACAGCAAUAACAAAGAGGUGAGCGUGCAGAGCGACCCACCCCACAACAGGAGGAAUGGCCGAGAAAGCGGAGCUUCCAUUUUCCCGCCUCCUGGUCCCCAUCCUUCUCUUGAUCGGCUGGAUUGUGGGCUGCAUCAUAAUGGUCUAUGUCGUCUUCUCCUAGGACGGAAAGAAGACUUCAGAUUGACGUCAUCUAGAAGAAUUGAGAAAAGAACAAACAUGACAGAUUAAGAAUUGAGAAAAGAACAAACAUGACAGAUUAUUAAAUGUUCCUCAUGUAAAUAACUGUAAUGUUUGGCAUCCCUUUAUAAACUUGGGUUUGUAGACUUGUGCUGUGGUGUGCAUUAAAAUUUCUUCAGGAACUUGUUUAAAGUCCUCGGUACAGAUAAGAAGUAUAAGAAAAUGUGGAUGAAUUUCUCUAUAAUCGGGGAGCAGGAGAAAUGUUCCUGUAACUAAGAAAGCAUAAGCAAUAGGGAAAAGUUUGGUAAGUUGAAUUAUAUUAAUUUUUUUUGCCACCUCCCCCCCAAAAAAACUAUAGAAAAAAUGAGCUAGAAGUAAGAGAGAGUUCACAGAAAACAAAGUGUAAGUGUAAAUUGGGCCUUUGACCUCUUGCUCAUAACAACAAAUGUAAUUAAACGGCACUGAAGACCACUGCUCGUCAUCAGAGGGCAGACGGGGACGUCUGACAGGUGUGUGUUGGUGGGAUGUGGGCACACGAGCAGAGCACUCUCCUGGGCUGUCUUCAGAAAUCAGAAACGGUAGAGUGUUUGUAGGAGCACUUGGCAGUCAGUAUCUACCAACAUCACACGUGUGUUUAACUUUUGACCCAGCUAUCCCUCUUCUAAGAAUAUUGCAAUUUCCACAGAGACACGGUAAAAAUACAAGGAAGCGCACUCACACGCCUAUUCACAUGGCAUGAUUCAUGACAGCAAAAGCCUGGAAACAGGCUGGAUGCCCAUUGCUGGGGCCUGACUGAGGGAGCUGUGUUCUGUCUACAUGGAGUGGUGCUUACCCGGCUGUACAAGGCAGGGGGUGUCUCUGUCUGCAGANUGCCCAUUGCUGGGGCCUGACUGAGGGAGCUGUGUUCUGUCUACAUGGAGUGGUGCUUACCCGGCUGUACAAGGCAGGGGGUGUCUCUGUAUGCAGAUGUGACGUCAUCCCCGCAUCAGCGUGUUGAGUGAAAAAGCCAGCAUGUGCUCAGGAGGUCUGCACCAACACGCACGCACAUUACAGUAAAAUGCUGGGGCGGAGACGCCACAGAUGGAGGCAGACAUCUCUGAGUGCACCUUCUUUCAUAGUUUUCAUUUUUGCACUCAUGUAAAUACCUGAUAAAUUAAAAAGACAGAGGAAGAAAAAGGAAAAAGUAGUCCCUCAAAUUUAAAACAAACUGAAACAAAUAAACCCAGUAACACAUCAAGUUGGUGACA
rnacentral:lncRNA from 1 species